AAAAAGGCAAACCCUGGAUUUCCGUGCCAACGUUUGACUGUCCGUCUUAUAUGAAAUUUUUUUAUAAUUAGUAUUUUCAUUGUUGUUAGAUGAUAAAACAUGAUUAAUACUUUAUGCGUGACUUAUCCUUUUAAUUUUUUUAAACAAGACGGACGGUCAAACGUUGGACACGGAAUUU
rnacentral:pre_miRNA from 1 species